rnacentral:lncRNA from 1 species
UGAUGAUAAUGUCUGCCCUCCUUUCCAGGGUUAUGAGAAUGGAUGAGAUAAUGUAGGCAAAAGCACUUUGCAAACUGUGAAGUGUUUGUUUUUCUCUGCAGGCAAGCUGGGAGAAAUCACAGCAGCUCAGUGACAUCAGUGUGGCUUUCUUUAGGCUGAUGGAUUCUUUCCCAGAGGUGACUCAGUGCCCACAGAUCAUGCCACCUCGAGUCUGCAGCACAAAUGUGAGGCCUGGGACUGACAGAAGACAUCCUGAUACACUAUCUUGUGUUAAGGCAUGCCUCCCAGGUGAAGCAAGAAGAGGAAGCCAUUUCCCUCAGGUUGACCACACAGGCUCUUGUGCUCUUCUACAGAAUCUCUCCUCUCCCAGGCUCCUCCCGUCUUCUUCCUCCGGGACAUCUGACACCCACAUCAACUUCUAUCAGCACUCAGC